GUCACAUUGUGGCCAUAGUUAGGAAGCAGAGAAAGAUAAAUGUUGAUGUUCAGACGGUUUUCUACUUUUUAUUCAGUCCUGAUUGCCAGUAUUUAUGGUUAGUUUGCCUUUCUCCAUUUACUCUUUUUAGAAACACCCAUAUACACACCCACAAGUGUUUCUACAGUGCCUGUGAACCAAGUGAAAUGGGCAAUGAAAGUUAAGCAUUUCAACCAGAAUAGAAGUCCUGAGAGAUGAUACCACAAAUGGUUUCAAUAUUGGCAGACAACCGAAAAAGACUCAACCCCAACCAAAAGAUACCCUUUUAGGUUUCCCGAAAGAACAUUGUUUUCUGUUCAUCUUCCCUCCACAGUUUUCAGCAUUCAAUUAAAAAGCAUGGGAUCAAGAAACAGUUACACUUUUAAGCAAAAUGAUCUACAGAGUCUGACACACAGGGACUACCAGGUAACUAACUACCAGGGCCCCGGCAUCACCAAAAGGAACUUGAAGCAGAAGAAUUGGUACUGUCCAUUCUCUACUCAAAAAUAUUUCCAUGCAGAAGAAACCAGCCUGGAAGAUGCUUUGAACACACAGUUCAUUCUGGAUUCCCUCGCAACUUUGGUGAACACAUCUGCUGCUCAUCCAGAUGCCAUACCUUGUGGGAUGACCAAGACUCUUAGUUAUGAGCCCAAGCUACAUUGUCACUUGCAGGAUGUGACUACCAGACCCUCAAAAUUGAGCAGAGAUGGAGAUGUGUCCAAAGAAACUGCUUUAUAUCAUAAGGUUGCCUUAUAUAUCCCUUACUAGUCACACAAUACCACAGCAUCUGAUUUCCUCCUGCUAUUCUGUUGGCCUUUCAUACAGAGAAUCCAAAGUAAUUGGAUGACCAAACAUCUCUUAGAGUUUAAUGGGACUUUUACUGAACUACUUAAUGGUAACAUCAUCCCUCUGAAAGCUAGAUGCUCAAGCCAACAGAGUAUAGAUUGUUUAAAGUAUAGCCCCUUCCUCUGAAGAUGCAUCAAACAAAAAAAAAAUGUGGACUGUUAGUUACUUCAAUGGCAAGUGAGGUUGGAGUUUGAAGAUAACAUGACUAACCAAAGAGCAUGCACCAGUGUCUCCACCAUACUUUGUAGUUUGUGUGUUCAUUUGUUCCAACUGAUAUGAGACUUCAAGAUAGUGGAACAAUGUGGCACAGUAUAGAAUAUUCAGAUUGGUAUUAUCCCUUGGAACAGUAUUAUGACUGAAGGAUGAAAAUUUAAAGUUGCCUGGGUCGAUACUGUAAAUAUCCUGUUUCAUGUGAAUGUUAACUGACUUUAAUUCUCCAUUUUCACUGAGAUGGAAAAUAAGUCACUGGCCAGAUCUGUGGGUUCAUAGCACACACACACCUAAGUCUUUAUUAGUCUGUUCCAGCAGUGAUAACAUAUCUUGACCAGAGCUGCAAUUUGGACUAUUUUGUUGAGUUUAUAGGGUUAUACUAGCAUCCUAUGUGAUCCAAAUGUCUGGUAAUAUGAAGACAUUACCAGACUAAGUCAAAUAGUACAAACAUGCAACUAUUUUUCCUUUGGGCCUUCAUCUUUGCUUUUACUGCUUGAGUGCCCUGUUCCUGGUGGUGGUUGUUGUUUGGUUUUGUUCUGUGUUUUUUAACUGAGUUUUACUAUAGGUGUGUAGGCACUUUCACUCAUUUCAG
ensembl:lncRNA